rnacentral:rRNA from 1 species
AUUGAACGCUGGCGGCGUGCUUAACACAUGCAAGUCGUGCGGUAACAGGCGUAGCAAUACGUGCUGACGAGCGGCGAACGGGUGCGUAAUACAUGGGAAUCUGCCCUUUAGUGGGGAAUAACCCGGCGAAAGCCGGGCUAAUGCCGCAUAAGAUCUUCGGAUGAAAGCGGGGGAUCGUAAGACCUCGCGCUGAUGGAUGAGCCCAUGCCGGAUUAGCAGUUGGUGAGGUAACGGCUCACCAAGGCGACGAUCCGUAGCUGGUCUGAGAGGACGGCCAGCCACACUGGGACUGAGACACGGCCCAGACUCCUACGGGAGGCAGCAGUGGGGAAUAUUGGACAAUGGGGAAACCCUGAUCCAGCGACGCCGCGUGUGUGAAGAAGGCC